UGACAGAAUAUUUUCACCAAUAUAUUGAGAUAUAUUGAUUGAGAGUCACUAUAUAAUAACUUUGUUCAUGUAAUGAAUGGCAUUUCUUCGUGAUAGAUCUGUAUUUUGUAUUCCUGAGUCAAUACUUACUUAUCAAGAACGAUAUAUAAUUGGUGGAAUAUGUAUGUUUACAGCCAGUGUUGGCUUCACUGGCGCAGCACUUCAACUCAGGUCACUCAGGCAAUUUAGAAACAGACAAAGACGACGACCUUCUCCGAAUCCGGAUAUCAUAUUUUAUUUGGCACUUUCUGAUUUAAUAGCUUGUGCAGGUUGGUCUAUUGUAAAUUUUUGGUAACUUGAUAAAACAUGGGAUAUUUGUACCUUCAUCUAACCCUACCC